AAGGCCGAAGCUUGCUUCGGUGCUCGAGUGGCGAACGGGUGAGUAACACGUGGGUGAUCUGCCCUGCACUUUGGGAUAAGCCUGGGAAACUGGGUCUAAUACCAGAUAGGACCACGUCUUGGAUGGUGUGGUGGAAAGUUUUUUCGGUGUGGGAUGAGCUCGCGGCCUAUCAGCUUGUUGGUGGGGUAAUGGCCUACCAAGGCGUCGACGGGUAGCCGGCCUGAGAGGGUGUACGGCCACAUUGGGACUGAGAUACGGCCCAGACUCCUACGGGAGGCAGCAGUGGGGAAUAUUGCACAAUGGGCGCAAGCCUGAUGCAGCGACGCCGCGUGGGGGAUGACGGCCUUCGGGUUGUAAACUCCUUUCGCCAGGGACGAAGCG
rnacentral:rRNA from 1 species